GGCCCUACAGCCCCCUGCUUCCUGCAGCUCCCAUUGGCCAGGAACAGCAAACCACAGCUGUGGGGGGCCAUGCCUGUGGAUGGUCAACAUCAGCAAACUGUCUUGCAGCCUGCAAUCAAUUACCCUGAUUAGCUACAUGCAGGCCACAGGUUGCCCACCACUGCUCUAACCAAUCAUACAGGGGCUAAGAAGAAUAUUCACUACCUCUCUCUUCAGAUCAAAGCCUUUUUAUAUAUUCACAGACCCUACUGCUUCCUUCUCUGGAACUCCAUACACUGGGAGCUUAGUUAUCCAUUCUGAAAAGAGUUCCAGGUACUCAUGCAUGCAAAACAGAAAUAUUACAAAUUUAACAAACCAACUCAGCUCAUUGGUUCCUGAAUUUUAUUGGUGGAGUGUCAGGAGAAAAAGAAUGGAUGCUGAUGAUAUCUGCAUGUGCCUUUUGGAAUCCCUAAACUUUACUGGCAAGCAAACCAGCUCCAUUACACAUCUGUACAGAACUAUUUAAAUAUACCAUCACCAAUCCUAAAUCUGUGACAUGUAGCAGCAUUCUUACCAUGUUCCCCAGAGUGAUCUGCAUCAGAGGAAAUGUGCAUGUAAUGCCAUCAUUUUUAUAUAAACUAAAGGCACUUGUUAAAUACAACCUUUCCAAAGUCCCUAAUCCUAGAUUGCAAAGCACUGUGCAGUUUCAGGAAAACUGUAAGGACUACAACACCUCUUCAUUCACUCUGCACUAGAAACAGGUUUAAAUAUAAUAAAUAAUUUGUUUUUCACUGCUUUCAUA